rnacentral:rRNA from 1 species
AUUGAACGCUGGCGGCAUGCCUUACACAUGCAAGUCGAACGGCAGCACGGGUGCUUGCACCUGGUGGCGAGUGGCGAACGGGUGAGUAAUACAUCGGAACGUACCUUAUCGUGGGGGAUAACGCAGCGAAAGUUGCGCUAAUACCGCAUACGCCCUGAGGGGGAAAGCGGGGGGCAGUAAGGCCUCGCGCGAUUAGAGCGGCCGAUGUCUGAUUAGCUUGUUGGUGAGGUAAAAGCUCACCAAGGCGAUGAUCAGUAGCUGGUCUGAGAGGACGAUCAGCCACACUGGGACUGAGACACGGCCCAGACUCCUACGGGAGGCAGCAGUGGGGAAUUUUGGACAAUGGGGGCAACCCUGAUCCAGCAAUGCCGCGUGAGUGAAGAAGGCCUUCGGGUUGUAAAGCUCUUUUGUCAGGGAAGAAACAGCAGCUCUAACACAGUCUGCGAAUGACGGUACCUGAAGAAUAAGCACCGGCUAACUACGUGCCAGCCGCCGCGGUAA